rnacentral:rRNA from 1 species
CCCGCACAAGCGGUGGAGCAUUGUGGUUUAAUUCGAAGCAACGCGAAGAACCUUACCAGGUCUUGACAUCCCGAUGCUAUUCUAGAGAUAGAAAGUUACUUCGGUACAUCGGUGACAGGUGGUGCAUGGUUGUCGUCAGCUCGUGUCGUGAGAUGUUGGAUUAAGUCCCGCAACGAGCGCAACCCCUAUUGUUAGUUGCCAUCAUUCAGUUGGGCACGUCUAGCGAGACUGCCGGUAAUAAACCGGAGGAAGGUGGGGAUGACGUCAAAUCAUCAUGCCCCUUACUGACCUGGGCUACACACGUGCUACAAUGGUUGGUACAACGAGUUGCGAGUCGGUGACGGCGAGCUAAUCUCUUAAAGCCAAUCUCAGUUCGGAUUGUAGGCUGCAACUCGCCUACAUGAAGUCGGAAUCGCUAGUAAUCGCGGAUCAGCACGCCGCGGUGAAUACGUUCCCGGGCCUU